GAUGAAGAACGCAGCGAAAUGCGAUACGUAAUGUGAAUUGCAGAAUUCAGUGAAUCAUCGAGUCUUUGAACGCACAUUGCGCCCCCUGGUAUUCCGGGGGGCAUGCCUGUCCGAGCGUCAUUGCUGCCCUCAAGCACGGCUUGUGUGUUGGGCCUCCGUCCUCCUCCCGGGGGACGGGCCCGAAAGGCAGCGGCGGCACCGCGUCCGGUCCUCGAGCGUAUGGGGCUUCGUCACCCGCUCUUGUAGGCCCGGCCGGCGCUUGCCGACACAUCAAUCUUUUUACCAGGUUGACCUCGGAUCAGGUAGGGAUACCCGCUGAACUUAAGCAUAUCAAUAAGCGGAGGA
rnacentral:misc_RNA from 1 species